rnacentral:rRNA from 1 species
AACCCAAUAAGCACUCCGCCUGGGGAGUACGGUCGCAAGACUGAAACUCAAAGGAAUUGACGGGGGCCCGCACAAGCAGUGGAGCAUGUGGUUUAAUUCGAAGCAACGCGAAGAACCUUACCAGGGCUUGACAUCCCUCUGACGGGUGCAGAGAUGUGCCGUCCCUUCGGGGCAGAGGAGACAGGUGGUGCAUGGUUGUCGUCAGCUCGUGUCGUGAGAUGUUGGGUUAAGUCCCGCAACGAGCGCAACCCUUGACCUGUGUUACCAGCACGUAAGGGUGGGGACUCACAGGUGACUGCCGGCGUAAGUCGGAGGAAGGUGGGGAUGACGUCAAAUCAUCAUGCCCUUUAUGUCCUGGGCUACACACGUGCUACAAUGGGCGGUACAACGGGAAGCGGGACCGCGAGGUGGAGCGAAGCCCUGAAAGCCGUUCGUA